GGAUUAGCUACCGCGGGUUACCCACGGAGUGAAGUGUUCAAUGCUUGUUAAGACAGAUGAGCUGCAGGCAGCUAGGGAUACGCUAGGGACAGUGGCAGUUGUUAUGGUAAAUAGCCAUUUUAAGGGGGGACUGUUGUGGAAAUAAGGUCUAUACAUAUUUCUUAAUUAGUAAAAUGUCUAUUUACUCAUCUCACGAAAACCAGUGUAUAAGCUAUACACACAUAUAUUAGUCAAAAUGGCUGCUAGAAGCUUCUAACCCCUCCUCCCCC